GGCGCUGUACUUUAAGGCUAAAAGGUUUGUUUUGCGGGCGAAUAAUGAGGAUUUCCCUCUAGGGCCA
rnacentral:tRNA from 1 species